AGAGUUUGAUCAUGGCUCAGGACGAACGCUGGCGGCGUGCUUAACACAUGCAAGUCGAGCGGAAAGGCUCCUUCGGGGGUACUCGAGCGGCGAACGGGUGAGUAACACGUGAGUAAUCUGCCCUUCACUUCGGGAUAACUGCCUGAAAGGGUGGCUAAUACCGGGUAUUCUCCUUGCACCGCAUGGUGUGGGGUGGGAAGUUUUUUCGGUGGGGGAUGUGCUCGCGGCCUAUCAGCUUGUUGGUGGGGUAAUGGCCUACCAAGGCUUUGACGGGUAGCCGGCCUGAGAGGGUGACCGGCCACACUGGGACUGAGACACGGCCCAGACUCCUACGGGAGGCAGCAGUGGGGAAUAUUGGACAAUGGGCGGAAGCCUGAUCCAGCAACGCCGCGUGAGGGAUGACGGCCUUCGGGUUGUAAACCUCUUUCAGCACAGACGAAGCGCCUGUGAAGGUGGUGACGGUAUGUGCAGAAGAAGCACCGGCCAACUACGUGCCAGCAGCCGCGGUAAUAC
rnacentral:rRNA from 1 species